CCCUUAGAUGCUCUGGGCCGCACGCGCGCUACACUGGUCGAUGCAACGAUUUUCUUUCCUUGGCCGACAGGCCUGGGCAAUCUUUGAACAUCGAUCGUGAUCGGGAUAGAUUCUUGUAAUUUUUGAUCUUAAACGAGGAAUUCCUAGUAAACGCAAGUCAUCAGCUUGCAUUGAUUACGUCCCUGCCCUUUGUACACACCGCCCGUCGCACCUACCGAUUGAAUGGUCCGGUGAAAUCUCCGGACUGGCGUGAGUCGGAGCAAUCUGACAAACGCCGGAAAGUUGAUUAAACCUUACCAUUUAGAGGAAGGUGAAGUCGUAACA
rnacentral:rRNA from 1 species